CACUGGCGGUUCGAUGCGAGACCCAGGGCGAAUCUGUCUCCUACAAUAGCUAUCCAGGGAUCUGCCUCUGUUCUGGGUGUGCACGCCCGCUCGUCGGGAAGCCCGAAGGAUUACGUGGAGCCCACCUACGCACAUGCGUAGGGGAUAGAAAGCCCUACGGUCGAACGGUCGUGC
rnacentral:other from 1 species